ensembl:lncRNA
AUCCCAUAUAUCCCAUAUACCCCAUAUCCCAUAUAUCCCAUUACCCCCUUAUCCCAUAUCCCAUAUAUCCCAUAUCCCAUUAUCCUGUUAUCCCAUAUCCCUUAUCCCAUUAUCCCCUUACCCCAUUACCCCCAUUACCCCAUACUCCAUUAUCCCAUAUCCCAUAUAUCCCAUAUAUCCCAUAUCCCAUACCCCAUAUCCCAUACCCCAUACCCCAUACCCCAUACCCCAUAUCCCAUACCCCAUACCCCAUACCCCAUAUCCCAUAUCCCAUAUCCCAUACCCCAUAUCCCAUACCCCAUAUCCCAUACCCCAUAUCCCAUACCCCAUACCCCAUAUCCCAUACCCCAUAUCCCAUACCCCAUAUACCCCAUACCCCAUAUCCCAUAUCCCAUACCCCAUAUCCCAUAUCCCAUACCCCAUACCCCAUAUCCCAUAUCCCAUACCCCAUAUCCCACAUCCCAUACCCCAUAUCCCAUACCCCAUACCCCAUACCCCCCAUACCCCAUAUCCCAUACCCCAUAUCCCAUAUCCCAUACCCCAUAUCCCAUACCCCAUACCCCAUAUCCCAUAUACCCCAUAUCCCAUAUCCCAUAUCCCAUACCCCAUAUCCCAUAUCCCAUACCCCAUAUCCCAUACCCCAUACCCCAUACCCCAUAUCCCAUAUACCCCAUAUCCCAUACCCCAUACCCCAUACCCCAUAUCCCAUACCCCAUACCCCAUACCCCAUAUCCCAUACCCCAUACCCCAUAUACACCCCAUAUACACCCCAUAUACACCCCAUAUACAUCCCCUAUACCUUGUUGGUGGCCGCCCCAUAGAAGGCCACCCUGUCCCACGUGACCACCAUGACCCACGUGGGGACCAAGCCCCGCCCCACGGCCCGCAGGUCACGUGGCUCUCGGCUCUGCCGGAAGUAGACGUCACCCCCCAGGGUCGUGUCCACGUCCGACCAAUAGGGAGCGAGGGCGGGAGGAGCCUCAGCCAAUGGGAGAGCUCCGGGGGGAGGGGCCGGGAAGCCGCGGCCGAGGGAGAGGAGACCGUUGGUGGUGACCUGGGGGCAGAGGGAACACGUUGGGACGCGAUGACGUCAUCGGUGACGUCAGCGAUGACGUCAUCGGAGGAGCCUCUCCCCCUCCCCCCUAUUCGCAGCACUGGGGGGGGGAGGGGAAGAGGAAAUAAGGGAUUAAUCCAUUGGGUUUUGGGUAAAUUUCCCCCUUUUUUGGGGCUUUUCCCACUUUUUGCCCUUUUUCCCCUCUUUUUUUG